rnacentral:rRNA from 1 species
GACGAACGCUGGCGGCGUGCUUAACACAUGCAAGUCGAACGGAAAGGCCCCUUUGGGGGUACUCGAGUGGCGAACGGGUGAGUAACACGUGAGUAACCUGCCCUUGACUUCGGGAUAACUUCAGGAAACUGGGGCUAAUACCGGAUAGGAAUCCUUGCUGCCUGGUGGGGGUUGGAAAGCUUCGGCGGUUUUGGAUGGACUCGCGGCUUAUCAGCUUGUUGGUGGGGUAGUGGCUUACCAAGGCUUUGACGGGUAGCCGGCCUGAGAGGGCGACCGGCCACAUUGGGACUGAGAUACGGCCCAGACUCCUACGGGAGGCAGCAGUGGGGAAUAUUGCACAAUGGGCGGAAGCCGGAUGCAGCAACGCCGCGUGCGGGAUGACGGCCUUCGGGUUGUAAACCGCUUUCAGCAGGGGCGAAGCUUGUGGUGACGGUACCUGCAGAAGAAGCACCGGCUAACUACGUG